rnacentral:misc_RNA from 1 species
AACGCACAUUGCGCCCCGUGGUAUUCCGCGGGGCAUGCCUGUUCGAGCGUCAUUUCACCACUCAAGCCUCGCUUGGUAUUGGGCGCCGCGUCUCGACGCGCGCCUCAAAGUCUCCCGGCUGAGCUGUCUGUCUCCCAGCGUUGUGACACAUAAUCGCUUCGGAGUGCAAAUAGCCGCGGCCGUUAAACUUUUCAUUACAGGUUGACCUCGGAUCAGGUAGGGAUACCCGCUGAACUUAA